AUUGAACGCUGGCGGAAUGCUUUACACAUGCAAGUCGAGCGGCAGUGCGGGGCAACCUGGCGGCGAGCGGCGAACGGGUGAGUAAUACAUCGGAACGUGCCCAGACGUGGGGGAUAACUACUCGAAAGAGUGGCUAAUACCGCAUACGAUCUAAGGAUGAAAGCGGGGGAUCGCAAGACCUCGCGCGUUUGGAGCGGCCGAUGGCAGAUUAGGUAGUUGGUGGGGUAAAGGCUUAACCAAGCCCGCGAUCUGUAGCUGGUCUGAGAGGAUGAUCAGCCACACUGGGACUGAGACACGGCCCAGACUCCUACGGGAGGCAGCAGUGGGGAAUUUUGGACAAUGGGCGAAAGCCUGAUCCAGCCAUUCCGCGUGCAGGAUGAAGGCCCUCGGGUUGUAAACUGCUUUUGUACAGAACGAAAAAGCUACUUUCUAAUACAGAGAGUCCAUGACGGUACUGUAAGAAUAAGCACCGGCUAACUACGUGCCAGCAGCCGCGGUAA
rnacentral:rRNA from 1 species